rnacentral:rRNA from 1 species
GCCAGCCACGCGCGGUUAAACCAAGAGAUUAAACUAUAUCUAUAGGUAAAAAGACAGUUAAAUUUGUUAAAAUAUAGUUAACUAAUAAUUUUUAAAGAAGUAGAAUUCUAAUAUAAUAAUAUAACUCUGAUUUAACUAAUACAAUUGAAGCUGUGACAUCCUUGAGGGAAACUGGGAUUAGAUACCCCAUUAUUCUUGGAUAUAAAAAGAAUAAUAUCUACCAAAGUACUACGAGUAAAUGAAGUAACUUAAAACUUAAAGGACUUGGCGGUGUUUUAGACCACUCAGGGGAACCUGUCUUAUAAUCGACAAUCCACGCUAUACCUUACCUGGUUUUGAAUUUCAGUUUGUAUACCAUCGUCGUCAGGUAACUUUUUAAAAUUUAGAAGUUAGCAAUAAAAGUUUUAUAACAUAAUAAACUAAGACGUCAGAUCAAGGUGCAGCCAAUAAUCAGGAAAAGAUGGGUUACAAUUACUAAUUAUAAUUACGGAUAGGCAGAAUGAAAUUUAUCGCCUAAUGAAGGAGGACUUGAAAGUAAAAUAAUUUAUAUAAAAAAUAUUUGAAUCAGGCUCUGAAACGUGCACACAUCGCCGGCUCACUCUAAAA